rnacentral:rRNA from 1 species
GAUGAACGCUGGCGGCGUGCCUAAUACAUGCAAGUCGAGCGAACGGACGAGAAGCUUGCUUCUCUGAUGUUAGCGGCGGACGGGUGAGUAAACGUGGAUAACCUACCUAUAAGACUGGGAUAACUUCGGGAAACCGUAGCUAAUACCGGAUAAUAUUUUGAACCGCAUGGUUCAAAAGUGAAAGACGGUCUUGCUGUCACUUAUAGAUGGAUCCGCGCUGCAUUAGCUAGUUGGUAAGGUAACGGCUUACCAAGGCAACGAUGCAUAGCCGACCUGAGAGGGUGAUCGGCCACACUGGAACUGAGACACGGUCCAGACUCCUACGGGAGGCAGCAGUAGGGAAUCUUCCGCAAUGGGCGAAAGCCUGACGGAGCAACGCCGCGUGAGUGAUGAAGGUCUUCGGAUCGUAAAACUCUGUUAUUAGGGAAGAACAUAUGUGUAAGUAACUGUGCACAUCUUGACGGUACCUAAUCAGAAAGCCACGGCUAACUACGUG